GAUGAACGCUGGCGGCGUGCUUAACACAUGCAAGUCGAACGAAACACCUUAUUUGAUUUUCUUCGGAACUGAAGAUUUGGUGAUUGAGUGGCGGACGGGUGAGUAACGCGUGGGUAACCUACCCUGUACAGGGGGAUAACAGUCAGAAAUGACUGCUAAUACCGCAUAAGACCACAGCACCGCAUGGUGCAGGGGUAAAAACUCCGGUGGUACAGGAUGGACCCGCGUCUGAUUAGCUGGUUGGUGAGGUAACGGCUCACCAAGGCGACGAUCAGUAGCCGGCUUGAGAGAGUGAACGGCCACAUUGGGACUGAGACACGGCCCAAACUCCUACGGGAGGCAGCAGUGGGGAAUAUUGCACAAUGGGGGAAACCCUGAUGCAGCGACGCCGCGUGAGUGAAGAAGUAUCUCGGUAUGUAAAGCUCUAUCAGCAGGGAAGAAAAUGACGGUACCUGACUAAGAAGCCCCGGCUAACUACGUGCCAGCAGCCGCGGUAAUACGUAGGGGGCAAGCGUUAUCCGGAAUUACUGGGUGUAAAGGGUGCGUAGGUGGUAUGGCAAGUCAGAAGUGAAAACCCAGGGCUUAACUCUGGGACUGCUUUUGAAACUGUCAGACUGGAGUGCAGGAGAGGUAAGCGGAAUUCCUAGUGUAGCGGUGAAAUGCGUAGAUAUUAGGAGGAACAUCAGUGGCGAAGGCGGCUUACUGGACUGAAACUGACACUGAGGCACGAAAGCGUGGGGAGCAAACAGGAUUAGAUACCCUGGUAGUCCACGCCGUAAACGA
rnacentral:rRNA from 1 species